rnacentral:rRNA from 1 species
AUGGCCAUGGAGGCGGUGGUCUCAACUUCUUUGAGCGGCAUCAUGUCCUCUCUUGUGAAGUUGGUCGUCAACGAGUGGUGCGUGGAAAAGACCAUGAAGGACGAGCUGACGAACCUCUACGACGAGCUUAUGAACAUGGACGCUUUCCUUGAGGAUGUCUCCAGCGUGCCACCGGAUCAGCUUGAGUCGCAGGUGAAGCUCAGGGCCCGCGAGGUCAGGGAGCUGUCGCAUGCCAUCGGGACACACCUCCACUCCUUCAUGGCACGCAUCGAGUCAACCAAGGGCGCCCUCCUUCCUAGCGUGAGCAAGGUGAACAUUCAGCAAGAGAUGGACAGAUACGUCAAAGAAAUCAUGAAGAAGGUGGAGAAGGUGAGUAAACGGUAUGGCCCUUAUCCUUGA